GUUCAUUUUACCCACAUCAUCACAUCAAUCCAUAAACAAAGGCAUCUGCGUUUCUUAAGGAGACACAACUUAACAGGGGGAGAGCACACCUGUCCCAUCAGGUGUGAAAUUCGCUAAACAGAAACUGGUCAAAAGUAAGGUCCACAGAAUAUCUUUGUUCCAGCUGGAUCAACAAGUCUUUGAGGGAUCUAGAGAUGUCUUCAAAACAGGGGGCUGUUGCUGAUGUCCAGCCUCUUACCGCCAUGGGAGAGGAAGGCGGUUGACCACACUGCAGAAAUCCCUGGAAAGGAAGCUACUGGUUGGCAAUGUGAGGAAACCAAAGAUUUAAUAUGUCCACGGGAGGCUCUGAGGGCAGGGGAUGUUACUACUGCUGAUGUUACUACUGCUGAUGUUUCUUGUUGUCAUCAGAGUUGCCUCCGCUUCACAGAGAAAAAAAAAAAGAAAGGGGGGAAAAAAAAGGAAACAUGAAUGCCCACCAUUUGAGAAAUGAAUUUAUCGAAGUCGCUGUCUUUUUCCCCAUUAGUAAGUGUUUAGUUCAGCGUUUUAAAUAAUUGCGUUACCAGGAAUGAUAUUUAAAAUACAUUUGGGAGUCAAUGAGGCGGGAAAGUGCCUACAUGUUUUGCUGAUGACACCCGGGCCAUUUGGAAGACAUCAAAGUAGAGAGGAGGUAGCCCAGAUGCAUAUUAUAAACUCAUUAUGUAUAUCAUUUAAAAGGAUGUACUCCAGCCGCAAAAACAAUAUUCCUAGUCUCUCUCUGGUAAUGUGUGUUUUCAAAGUUGAAACUCUUACUCGCCUUCAGUUUAAUGUGGCAUCUAUUACCAAACUGUAACAUAAAAUAAAUGACCUUGAUUUCCAUACCAGAACAGUCGUUAAGGUAUAGAUGAGAUGCAGGGAUGCUUCUGUGAUUUCAAAUGGGAAAGAAGGUAAAACCUCUCCACACAUAUCAUGUAUUUCUCCACC